GACGAACGCUGGCGGCGUGCUUAACACAUGCAAGUCGAACGAGUGGCGAACGGGUGAGUAAUACGUGGGUAACCUGCCCUCUUUUUGGGAUAAGCCUUGGAAACGGGGUCUAAUACCGAAUACAGGGGGAUGGGCUCGCGGCCUAUCGGCUUGUUGGGGGUGUGAUGGCCUACCAAGGCGGUGACGGGUAGCCGGGCUGAGAGGGUGACCGGGAACAUUGGGCGGGAGAGACGGCCCAGACUGCUAGGGGGGGGGACAGUGGGGGAUAUGGCGAAAUGCGCGAAAGCCUGAUGCGGGGACGCCGCGUGGGGGAUGAAGGCGUACGGGUUGGAAACCUGUUUAGCAAUCGAACGGGUAGGUAGAGAAGAAGCGCCGGCUAACUACGUGCCAGCAGCCGCGGUAAUUC
rnacentral:rRNA from 1 species